CAGCCAUUGAGUCCUUUGGAUACAGCUCCAGAGAGUGUCCCUAGCCUGCGUCUUCAAGUAACACCUUGAGGCCAGACCCUUCACGAGCCCAAAUACCUGCUCUCCCCAGGUAGCAGUUAUCCUCUGAAACUAGACCAGGCUGCAGACAGAAGGAAUUGGAUGCCAAUCAACAUGGGAGCACUUCAAUGAGACAAGAUAUUUUCCACUCUGUUAUCACCAUUUGGGAUUUGCUGCUCCAGCCAUAUGUUCCCCAGCUGAUGUUAGUCACCCUCUGCUGUGCCACCACCAGCUGGCAUGCAGCUGACACUUGGCAUCCCUUAGAAAGGGAGGAGAUGAUGUCAUGGAAGAGCUCAAGGUGCAAAGGAUGGAGUAAGAGGAUGAAUGAUAGUGCAAUCUCCUGCACAUCUCUCCUGGUUCCUUUUAGUUGGACUUUUCAGCUGGGGCUAAUCAAGGCAGUUCCUCAUGGGCUGGAGGCCAGCAGGGAUGAUUUCCCUUAAGACAGGAUUUUGCUCAGAUGUCCCUCAUUGGUUAUGUCUUUCCCACAUCUGGAUGAGAAGCACUGUGCCAACAACCUGUCUGCCUAGCAGCUACAGUGAGGGCCUCAGUGUUAUCACUGCACAUGCAGAAAUGUCACUGACUUGGAAACAAUGUGGAAUUACAAACAACAUCAAAGAGAUCAUCUGAAGUACAUCCUUCAGAAAGUGCACACAAAGAGCCAGUUGCUUUGUCUUUGUGGUUUGGGGUAGAGCUGACUCACUGUAAACUUGUGCAGUCACCAGUGGCACCUCUGUGCCACUUUAGAAGGCUGAAGUAGCUCUCUCACAUAACUUCUUUUCCCCAGGAGUGCUGAUAACCCUUCCCUUGCAAAAGGCUUUAUCUGGACCUGAGAACAUAUAUUGCACAGGCAAAUGGUUACAGCAUUUACCUUUCUCACUGGUAAAUCUCCUCUGGGGUGUUUGGUUCUUGCAUUGGGAGUCCCAGCCCCAGCAUGCCAGUCUAGCAGGGCAGAGGGAUGGAGGAACACUCAGA